UGGCUCAGGACCGAACGCUGGCGGCGUGCUUAACACAUGCAAGUCGAACGAAGCACUUUAUUUGAUUUCCUUCGGGACUGAUUAUUUUGUGACUGAGUGGCGGACGGGUGAGUAACGCGUGGGUAACCUGCCUUGUACAGGGGGAUAACAGUUGGAAACGGCUGCUAAUACCGCAUAAGCGCACAGCAUCGCAUGAUGCAGUGUGAAAAACUCCGGUGGUAUAAGAUGGACCCGCGUUGGAUUAGCUAGUUGGUGAGGUAACGGCCCACCAAGGCGACGAUCCAUAGCCGACCUGAGAGGGGACCGGCCACAUUGGGACUGAGACACGGCCC
rnacentral:rRNA from 1 species